CCGCAAAAAUGAUUWUAGGGAUAGUUGGGGGCGUUAGUAUUUAGCUGUCAGAGGUGAAAUUCUAGGAUUUGCUAAAGACURACCAAUGCGAAAGCAUUUGCCAAGGAUGUUUUCAUUAAUCAAGAAAGRAAAUAUGGGGAUUGAAGACGAUCCRAUUCCGUUGUAGUUUUUACCCUUAAMUAAUCCGGCCUGGGGUCCGGAGAGUUUCAURUGAURCUCCCCUCGGCCCUUUCGAGUUUAAWAAGUUUUUGGGUUYUGGGGGGAGUAUGGUCGCAAGGCUGAAACUAAAGAAUGAACGAAGCCCCAUCAWUGGCA
rnacentral:rRNA from 1 species